rnacentral:rRNA from 1 species
CGGUAAUACGUAGGGUGCAAGCGUUAAUCGGAAUUACUGGGCGUAAAGCGUGCGCAGGCGGUGAUGUAAGACAGGUGUGAAAUCCCCGGGCUUAACCUGGGAACUGCAUUUGUGACUGCAUCGCUGGAGUGCGGCAGAGGGGGAUGGAAUUCCGCGUGUAGCAGUGAAAUGCGUAGAUAUGCGGAGGAACACCGAUGGCGAAGGCAAUCCCCUGGGCCUGCACUGACGCUCAUGCACGAAAGCGUGGGGAGCAAACAGGAUUAGAUACCCUGGUAGUCCACGCCCUAAACUAUGUCAACUAGACGUUGGCCCCAUUAAAGGGGUUAGUGUCGAAGCUAACGCGUUAAGUUGACCGCCUGGGGAGUACGGCCGCAAGGUUGAA